rnacentral:lncRNA from 1 species
GGAGAUGGCUGCUUAGCAGGUUGCCUCGGCUGUCUGGACACCCCCUUUGCAGACGGGGAGGCCCCAGGAGGACUUCCUACAAGCUGCUCCUUCUGCUGGUCGGCCUUUUGCUCCGCUCCCGGCUCCUCUCUAUUCUUCUGGUUUUGGCUUGAAAUGCCACCACUUUAGGUGGCCCUCCGACCAUGGCAGGUAGGAUUGCAAGUUCCAUGAGGAAGGACAAUGGCUUUCUUAUUCCUCUUUUUAUCUCCAACACCAAACUCCAGCCUGAUACAUGCUCUCUACAGCCAGGAGCAGAGGUGAAGGGCCGCCGGGAGACACUUCAACCCAACAUUUCAUGGAAUACAGGCAUCUCUCUCAACAGCGUGGACAUCAGAAUCUCAUCUCAGGCCCCGCUCUCCGGGUGUGAUUCUGUAGGACAUCAACCCAUCCUUUCCACAGCCCGUAUUCCAGGGGCUGUGAGGUUCGCUCAGACUUCUGCCUGCACUUUUCCCUGAGCAGCAAGACUGCGUCUAUCUUCUUCUUCUUCUUGUUUCCCCAGCCUACCCCAGAUACCAACACACAGUGGGGAAUUAAUAAACAUUUUGUUGAACCACGG